CACGAAAGGAGAGGAGAAAAUAAAGGUACAACAUCCUAGACAAUAUCUGGAGGAAAGGUACUUUCAAUAAAUUAUGGUUAUUUAAGAGAGACAACAGAAAAAUGUUGGAUAUCUGGCAAGUUUGGGAAAUGACUUUGGAAGAACCAUUUUGUUGAUGGAGAAAAGAUUUGAUGGGGCAUUCACCUUGUUGAUGGAACUGAGCAGAGUUAAGACAUCAUCUUUCUUCAACGUGACUUCUCGGGGGCUGCGGGCUUGGAAGUCAUAUAAAGCCACAACUCUCUCUUCUCGAGCCACUCUCUCCACUGGUGCAGCCUGUUGUUGCUAAACAAAAACAGGAAGUAGACCAUGCAGCCAUUGUGCAACGCUUGGUGAAGGCACAACAUUGAAGCUUUGCCAAUGUAUAUUGAUUUGACAUGGUGAGUCUAUGUCUUUUGUCUACUCCCAAUAUAUGAAUUCAGAGAUUCUCAGUAGAAAGAAUUCCAUGAAUGUAUUUUUUUUCUUUUUUUCCCUCUUCUACUUCACACAGGAGAUACUUAUAUCAUUUAGUUGUUUCUAGCUUCAUCACUCUUCAGAACACCCCUUUUCACCUUGCAUACUAACCGUUCUCACAUUCUCAACCAUUUGCAUUUCUUAUCUUGCAAAUACACUUGAUUAUUUUGUGCUCUGGUUUAUUUGCUCUCAUAGCUUAUUGACUAGAUAGGUUCUUCUCCUCCUUGUCUGCACAGUAAACCACCUUUUUUUUUGUUAACAAUAAGUCAGUUUUGAAUAUUUCAAUGCUCUUAUUUCAAGAAAAUGAAAUACUCCUUCUUUUGAAAUCACUUUUCCUGUUCAUAUAUCUAUUAUAUGCACUUACUUGUUUAAAUAUCUGAAACCCUGACAGACCAUAAUUUUCCUACAAAUCAAGAUUAACUUUUAUUCAUGUUUGCACAUGGUAAAUAUUUAAUAAAUGUUGGUUUAAAAACUAAGGAUGGAAGGAAGGAAAGGAAGGAAGAAAGAAAAUAAGGGUUUCCAAUUAAGAUGGCGGCGUAGUUAAGGCUGUGCUCACCUCCUCCCACCUCAAAAUUACAACUAAACUACAUAACAACCAUCAUGAAGAAUCACCUGACGUCUAGCUGAACAGAAAUUUUACAACUAAGGACAUGCAAAAGAAGCCAAAAUGAGACUUGUAGGAGAGGAGAAUGUGACACAGGCUGGUCCCAAACCCAUGUGUGGCAGUUAAAAAUUGGGAGAGAUAUCUUGUGUGGAGAGGUAACCCCCUGAGGAUUGAAGAGUCCCAUCCCCACACAAGGCUCCCCAGCCUGGGGUUCCAGUGCCAGGGAAAGAAGUCCCCAUCACUUCUGGCUGUGAAACCAGCAUAGAUGUUGCCAAGUGAGACCAAAGGCUGCUGGUGUCUCAGGCAUUCCUCUUAAAGAACUCAUGCACAAACUUACUCUCUGAGGGCCUCUCUUGCUCUGAUCUCCAGCACUGGGGCAGCAGCUGAAAAAGUGCUACAAAUACACAGGGAGGAACUAAAUUGUCUAGCUUCACGGGAAGGGUUAGAGGAGCAGCUUCCUCCUAGACAGAAAUGCAGGCUGAAUCCAUUAUUCUUUUGUUAAGCCCUCCCAUGACCCAGCCUGCUCACAUCAGCAGGCACCAUAUCUGAGAUCCCAAUAACCUGGCUAACACUUUUCAUCCCAUUCACCUUUCCCUAGUGAUUCCCUGAGACCCCACUUUACACAACCUGCAGGCCGACUCAAGCCACUUACAUUGGCUUUUCC